rnacentral:lncRNA from 1 species
AUGUGCUGCUUGCCCUUGCUGGGCAAUCCCACCAGGGAUGCCCAGAGGGUUCCCCAGCCCUGGCUCUGGCUUUGGGCACUCCCUGGCUGCUUUUCCUGCUGGAUUUUCAGGUGCAGGUGUGAGCUGGGAGCAGCAGGAGCUGGCCAGGCUGCCCAGGGCAGGAUCCCCACCCCGAGGGGGGUUCCCUGGCCCUUCCCACGCCGCCCUGGCCCUGAGCUGCGAGCAGAGAGCCCUGAAGGAGAAGCAGGAGCAGGAGCAGACCCCUGGCUGGGAUUUCGGGAGCAGCAGGAGCGAGCUGGCCAUCAGGAUAGAGGGCCUGGCAGUGGGAGUUGGCUUCGGGGCCGUCGGGAAAUCCCAGUCUGCCACGUUCCAGAGUGCCAGGAAUUUAGCCAUCGGGAUUGGGAUCCAGAACUUCCCAGAGGGCCUGGCUGUCAGCCUGCCCCUGCGUGGUGCUGGAUUUUCCACGUGGAAAGCCUUCUGGUAUGGGCAGCUGAGUGGGAUGGUGGAGCCCCUGGCCGGGGUCCUGGGCGCCUUGGCCGUGGUGCUGGCGGAGCCGCUCCUGCCCUACGCGCUGGGAUUCGCCGCCGGAGCCAUGGUCUACGUGGUGAUGGACGACAUCAUCCCCGAGGCACAAACCAGUGGCAACGGGAAGUUGGCAUCCUGGACCUCCAUCCUGGGCUUUGUGGUGAUGAUGUCCCUGGACGUGGGGCUGGGGUAGGGCAGAGCUGCGUUCCCAGGAGGACACAGCAGAGCCCCGCCCGCGGGAUCGGGAGCCGGACACGCCUUGGCCCGGGACUGGAUCUGUACAUAGAUUUUUGGGAUCUGGUUUGGUGUUGAUUUCCUCUGAUUUUGUACCUCCCCCUCCCCUCUGAGUUCCUGGAGAUGGUUUCCAAGCACAAAUAUGGGUGGGACCUCCCAGAUCACGGCUUGGUUUUCCUCUUGGAAUGGAUGCUGGAUGACGCUGGGCUGGUUUCUCCAAGGAAAGGCAUUUGGGAUUUUGAUCCUCUCUGUUCUGUCAGAGGCUGGGAAUUCCCUGUCCCAUGUGGAGGCUGGCCUGGGGUCUGGAAAUGGAGUAAGCUCCUUAUGGAGUGUGGGAUUGCACCCUUUUUUGGGAAGGUCGAAGGCAUUAGGACUGUGAUGAGUCUUCCACAUCCUGCUGCUCCUCAGGAACGCUGCAGGGAAUUGCUUUGGGUGCAUGGAGAUAGUCCUGGCAAAUAAAGAUGAAUUUUCUUGGGAUCUCUGCA